UAUGUUUUUUGGAAUGCAGAAUUCUUAAGCACUCUAUACUCUAACACAACAGUUUUCUGAUAUACCAAAGCAACUCUCCUAGACAACAUUGUUUAUUAUGGCUUAGGCAUGAAGCCAUUUUGAACACCUGAGGGUUCCAAGUGGAAUUCUGACCCGCUUAGAUUUGACUUUGGAUGUACUAAAGUAGCUGAAGGAGAAGCGGGGUAACUAUGGAUUUUACCAUGAGUCUACACUUGAAUCACCUGAGAAACUUCCUGAAGAUAAUCAUGCCAGGCCUUAUCCUAGCAACUCUGAGGUGCCACAGAGAUUUUAAAAUCUUCUCCAGAUGAUUAUGAUGCACAUCCCUCAGUAGAGAACCAUAUACUCAACAUUACAGACUGUAACCAGUCCUAAAUGGCCAAAGGCAAAAUUAUAAAAGAAGGGGAAAUCAAGAAAUCUUCAAUGUCAGAACUCAGAUGAGUUCCAAGGGCAAAAAUCAAAUCAGCAGGCCAAAGUACUCAGGUUUCAAAGGUAACUGCAACAACUGUCACCCAAAUUCAAAUAAAUAUUUACAAAGCCCUUCAGAUAUAUCUUGAGGAGACAUCUUAUACUAACAGAAAAAAAAGGUCAAUACAACACUUUGAAGUAAUUAGGCAUUUUUCAUUAUAGUGAAGCUGUUAUUAAAGAUUUUUUUUUUAAUCCUUCAAGAAGAAAAUACUGCUGGCUUGCUCCUUAGACAACUCUAUCUAACCCUAGUCUUCCUGGAAUGUUCUAAUAAAGAUACAUUCUUUUGUAACUAUAUUACUUUGUUGCUUUUGUCUCAUCCU